rnacentral:rRNA from 1 species
GAUCAUAGCUCAGAUUGAACGCUGGCGGCAGGCCUAACACAUGCAAGUCGAGCGGAUGAAGAGAGCUUGCUCUCUGAUUCAGCGGCGGACGGGUGAGUAAUGCCUAGGAAUCUGCCUGAUAGUGGGGGACAACGUUUCGAAAGGAACGCUAAUACCGCAUACGUCCUACGGGAGAAAGCAGGGGACCUCGGCCGUUGCGCUAUCAGAUGAGCCUAGUCGGAUUAG